GGCCUACCAUGGUGGUAACGGGUAACGGGGUGUUAGGGCACGACACCGGAGAGGGAGCCUGAGAAACGGCUACCACAUCCAAGGAUGGCAGCAGGCGCGCAAAUUACCCAAUCCCGACACGGGGAGGUAGUGACAAUAAAUAACAAUACGGGGUUCUUUUGGAUUUCGUAAUUGGAAUGAGUACAAUUUAAAUCUCUUAACGAGGAACAAUUGGAGGGCAAGUCUGGUGCCAGCAGCCGCGGUAAUUCCAGCUCCAAUAGCGUAUAUUAAAGUUGUUGCAGUUAAAAAGCUCGUAGUUGAAUUUCGGGGUCAGCAGGCUGGUCGUGCCACUGGUAUGAACUGGCCUCGCUGAUUCCUCCUUCUUGAAGAACCGUGAUGCCAUUAAUUUGUUGUUGCGGGGAAACAGGACUGUUACUUUGAAAAAAUUAGAGUGUUUAAAGCAGGCUAACGCCUGAAUACAUUAGCAUGGAAUAAUAAAAUAGGACGUUUGAUCCUAUUUUGUUGGUUUCUAGGGUUGACGUAAUGAUUAAUAGGGAUAGUUGGGGGCAUUAGUAUUCAAUUGUCAGAGGUGAAAUUCUUGGAUUUAUUGAAGACUAACUACUGCGAAAGCAUUUGCCAAGGAUGUUUUCAUUAAUCAAGAACGAAAGUUAGGGGAUCGAAGACGAUCAGAUACCGUCGUAGUCUUAACCAUAAACUAUGCCGACUAGGGAUCGGAUGAUGUUAAUUUUUUUAAUGACUCAUUCGGCGCCUUACG
rnacentral:rRNA from 1 species